rnacentral:lncRNA from 1 species
UGGGCAAACUUCAAAUACCACCUCUAUGGUUUCGUACUUUUUCACUUUAGUACCCUACGAUUUAAAAUGUAUCAAUUUAGUACCCUGUGUUUUCAGUUUUCUCUUUUCAUUUGCUCAUCUGUUAACAUUUCGUUAAAUUAUAUACAAAAAACUUUAGAUACCCCAUCUAAGUUUAUCGAAUAUUCACUUUAAUACUGUUUAGUUUUAACUUUGUCACUGAUUUAAUGAAAAAAUCUGACGAAAAGAGAAAAAUGAAACCACAGGGUACUAAAUUGAUACACUUUAAACUACAGGGUAUUAAAUUGAGAAAGUGCGAAACCACAGGGGUGGUAUUUGAAGUUUGCCCUUCUUUUAUUGUGAGUUUGGAUUUUGAUAGGCAUGAGGCGGAUCAUUGUGCAUAUUUUUCUUGUUAUGAUGACAGGAGCUUCAAUAUUUUUCCAUUGUAUGUCGACGUAUAGUGGUCAAGGGAAUAGCAAGAGCUGGGUAUCUACCCUCAAGACUUAGUUGGCCGAGAAGCUCGAUAUGAAGAACUUAGGAGUCGUGAACCAAAUAUUCGGAAUGAAGGUACUAUAGGAGCGAAAGCAUAGAAAGGUUUGGCUUUCACAAAAGAGUUAUGUGGAGAAGGUUCUAUGACACUUUAAUAUGCAGAACACAAAGUCAGUUUCUACCCUAUUUUCUAUUCAUUUAAAAUUGUCGGCAGAGCAAUCACCCAAUACGAAAGCAGAAAAGGCCGACAUGGCUCGGGUACCAUAUUCAUUGGCAGUGGGGAGCCUUAUGUUUGCCAUGGUGUGCACUAGACCCUACAUUGCUCAAGCAGUGGGAGUAGUGAGUCGGUAUAUAACAAAAUCGAAUUGUGAAUAUUGGAAUGUAGUGAAGUGGAUCCUCAACUAUUUGAGGGACACUACUGAUUUCUUACUCUAUUAUGGUUCUGAGGAUUUGGAGUGUGUCGAAUAUGUAGUGUUCCUGAGGUUUGGAUAGGAUUGGCUACAGUAUUAGUGGCUGGUCGACAUCACAGGAGAGUGUCGGACUGAGUCGGAGUCGUUUCUGUACGAAUUGGAUGCAGAAAUGGACUCGGUGCACUCAAUUAAGCAAAACUGGAGUUUUGCCAGAUUUGGGCGCCGAGAACACGGUUUAGGUCGCCCAGAACUGAGUGCUGAAUUUAACUGAAACUGGAAGCCAAUUCAGAUCUUAUGUUCCGGGCGCCCAGAAGUGGGUCCGGAAAUUUUACAUCGUGAAUAUCGUUUGUGUUGACACGUGGCUGGUGGUAGGUGAGGUCCACUGGAGCCGUUUACGGGCAUAGUGCACCGCGGGUGGAGAAUCCGAAGUAGAACAAUUGUGUAGCUUGGAGGAUUCGGGCGCCCAUAAUGUGGGUCCGGGCGCCCGGAAGUGCCCGUUUCCGCAGGGACAUCAGAUUGCAGCAGUUGUUCUCGGGGCUUAUCCUACCCUUCCUGCACCCUAUAAAUAGUUGAGAGGGACCUUGGUGAGCUCUUUUCUCAAUUUCUUCACAGUGAACUCAGAAUUCCUCUCUCAAUCCUUCAAAUCUUCGCAAAUUGCUUCAUAAUCCACAACUCCAAGCUUGCUAGGUGCUGAUUCUGCAGUUCUUCAGCAAUGACCUCCAGUGUUUUGGCUCGUGUGCGGCGUAGGAAGGUCGGAUCGCGGUGAAACUUGGUUUGUUAGAUUCUAGACUUCCAGAGGAAUCCACGAAGCCCUGGAUUGCAGAUUUUGGUUGAGGUUAGCUUAGUCGAUUCCAUGCUUUUCUAGACUGCUGUUACUUUGAAGCUGAAUUUGAGUUUUAGUGGUUUUUUCAAUGCAAUUCUUGGAUGGAACAGGAUUUUUGGACCUGAGAUUUGUGCUCCAUCCUUAUUCACUGGAUUUGGAAUUUGUCUCACCCGAAAUUAGAGAUUAUUAUGUGAGUUUUGUCAUUGGAGUUGAGAUAAUUAAGCUUAAGUGCUAAAAUUUUGGUGAAUUGAUGGAUUUUGGUCUUUUUUGGUACUUGAACCUUGAUGUAGCUUUGUUGCUGGACUUGAGAGUGUUUCGGUUGAGCCAGCAGGUUUUCCGCAGCUAAGAGAGUUCUUUGCUGCCAGGGAUUAGCUCUUGAAGUGUGUUUUCAUCGGUGUUACUCCUAAGCCGUAUUACUCGACAUGUGUGAUUUCAGCUUUUGGUAGAUCAUGUGUUAGCUCAAUUUCUUGAUUAAAUCAUGUAUAAAAUGAGAAUUGAGAGCAUGAUUAAUAAUUCGUUAAAUAUGCAUGUUGGACUUGGAACUUGACUUAGGAGAAAACCAGCGUUUUGACCCGUCAUAUGAUUCUACUACCUGAUUUAGCUCUAGGAGCCGUGGUUUGAUUGUAUCACCGCUGUUUCAGCGCAGUGGAUAUCCGGGGUAGUUUAGAAUGCAUUUACGCUCGUGCUGGGAUGCCGAGCUUAUUUUUACAGCAGAGUUUAGGCUGUUUCGGGUUGUCGGGUGCCGUCAGGGUGGACGGUGGAUCCAGAUUCUUAUUUUUGGUAUCAGAUUGUGCCGAGGGCACGUGGGUUCGGUUUCUAGACCGGUUUUGACCCUAACUACUUAUCUUUAGCUGAUUAGAGCCUGAUUGAGCUCGACAGAGAUACACUUGCAUACUCGAUUGGGUAGCGCCCACGAGUGCCACUCCGGAGUCGAGCUUAGUGCAUUUGCGUUUGUGUCGUUCGUGCAGGUUGGACUUGCUCUCCACGGACUUGUUAGUAUGGAGGUAGCUGAUUAGUUGUAACCUGGCGGGAUGGGUGUGUUCACAGUCCCAGGGAUGGGUAUGAUUACAGUCCCUAUUCAAGAUUGGGUCUGUGUUGACACUGUUCUACAGUUGGUUAGAUUAGAGCAUGAUAGUAUAGAGGCAGAUAGUUGUAGAUAUGUUCCAGCUUUCUUUAUUAUUUCUUGCUUACCCCUGUAGAUUUAGUGGGUGGACCGAUGAGUUUGAGGGCAGUACCCACUGAGGACUACUUGUUUUUACAGUAGUUCUCACGCCCAGUUUGUUUCCACUAUUUUGUAGAGUCAUCGUCUUCGGCUGCUGCUGUCGCUAAUUUUGAUCAUGGCAAGGGCGUCGCGAGUUAUAGCCCUUCCAGUCGAGUUGCUGAGCUAGUGGAGGACCGCUGCAGGUAGUGUAGUUUUGGUUUAUACAUACAGAUGUUGUACUCUCGCCAGUGCGAGUGCUUUUGUAUCUUGGAUCUUAUGUAUGUAUAGAACCACAGUUUAUAUAUUUAUGGUUUAUUUUCUCCUAGCUGCUCUAUACUACUGUCUGUAGUAUUGUAUGAUUACAUGUACUUUUACUUUUCGCUUCGUAUACAGAGAAAAUAGCUAUAUAUACUGCGGGUCUGUUAGCGAACCCGGGAAAACGAGUAAUCCGGGGCGUGACAGAUUAAAUUGGUAUCAGAGUUUAGCUGUAGGUCGUUGGGACCUAGGAGCCCUAAGUUUGGCAAACCUUAGGAAGGUAAGACGUGAGAGGCGUGAUUUAUCACGCAAGUCAACGAUUUGUUGUUCUAACUCCUCCUAGAGUGGAGUGAGUGAUUGGAGGAGCUCCAUUUUUGGCCUGAAAAAUUAUGUUUGCUGCAGACGACAUAAUUUUGAAGAGAAACAGGGGCCGCCUUCUAGACUUUUGUUUGAUUGGUCGAGAGUAUUUUUGUUGUAUCUGACCCCUGUUUUGUCCUUUACAGCUAUGUACCGUCGCCGAGGUCGACCGUCGCUCAGAGAUCGUGCCGCACCGCCCGAGAUGCCUGAGCAGGCAGAGCCGAGUGCACCACCAGAGGCGAGUGCACCCCCUGUUGUGGAGCAGAGGGCCCGACCGGAGGUGGGUGCACCUCCUAAUUUGAGUGCACAGUUAGCCGCCCUCACAGAGGUGAUGAGGCGACAGGGGGAGUUGUUGGAGAUGUUGUGUGAGAGGGUAGCUCCGUCACCGAGUAAAGUACCGAGAGUACAUGAGCAAGCCGUUCCACCUCUGACUACUCCAGUGACAGCACCAGCCGCAGCUAUACCUCUGCCAAUGGAGUUUCUUGCAGUGCCAGUUGUGCCUGCUAGGGGGCCAGUAUAGUUGACAGAGGCCGAGCAGGAGCGGUUGACAGAGAGGUUGGCUCGUUUCCGCCGUUUUGAUCCGCCGACCUUCGAUGGCAGUUGCACUGAGGCCUGGGUUGUUGAGGGCUGGGUCAGUGCGAUGGAGAAGCUAUUUGAGGAUCUGUUCAUUUCUGAGUGGGAGCAGGUAUUUUUGGGAGUCCAUUGCUUGGCAGGUGAUGCCCACGCCUGGUGGAGGAGAGUGAGGAGAGAGUAGGGACUGGUAGCGUUGCAGCUGAAAUGGAAUGAGUUCUGUGGAAUGUUGUUUGGGAUGUUUUUUUCCAGCAGUGUGAAAUAAAAGCUCGAGGAGGAUUUGAAGAGGAUUCAGCAGGGGGACCGUCCAGUGUAGGAGUAUAUUCGGGAGUUUACUCGACUCCUGAACUGUGUGCCAUUUGUGGCCAGGGACGAGGCACAUAGGGUUUAUCUGUUUGAGCAGGGGCUGAGACCCGACAUCUUCAGGUUGGUGCGGGCGCAAAGGUCGAGGAUCCUGGAUGCGUCCAUAGAGCAGGCCUUAUGGGUGGAGGAGGUGAAGUGUCGCUGCAGGAGAGGACUCAGGCAGUGGGGCAGAGUCAGGACAGGAAACGUCCCUUUCCCGAUUACGGAGGACAGUCGAGAAGCAGACGUCCGCCAAGACCUCCACGAUCACGUUCUCAGGGUCGUGGGUCUUCGGGGCGUCAGCGUUCCAGGGGAUCCCGCAGCAGGGACAGACUUCGAGGACACCGUAGUGUGUGAUCUGCGGGGGACCAUAAUGGCCCCGACAGUGCGAGCAGAGAGAGGGCCGUUGCUACACUUUCGGUCAGCCUGGGCAUAUGAGGUCAGCUUGUCCUUGUGCAGCAUCAACAGCACCAUCCAUGGCAUCAGCGCAGCCAGCAUCCCAGCAGUCUUUUGGAGCAGCACCGAGUUUCCGCCAGGAGGACAGAUCGUCUGUGCCGUGUCAGACUCAGCGGCGACAGCAGGCUCCGAGUGGCAGAGUUUACGCAUCUCAGGUGGAGGACUCUUCAGCAGCCGACCGAGUGGUGAUAGGUAUCAUUUUGAUUUCAGGCAUUCGUACUUGUACUCUUUUUGAUAUCGGUGCCUCACAUUUUUUCGUUAGCCGAACAUUUGCAUUGUUGCAUGGUCUAGAGUUAGGGUCAUUGUCAUAGGCACGAGAGGUGCAGAUCCCCGACCAUGUUUUACAGGUUGCAGAGUGUUGUUGGUCAUGUCCGGUGCAGUUAGAUUCUUGGAUCAUGCCCGCAGACCUGUUGGUAUUAGGGCAGCUGCAGGACUUUGACGUAGUGCUCGGUAUGGAUUGGCUGGCACGGUACAAUGCUACUAUCGACUGUGGAGCGAGGACUGUGACGUUCCGUGAGCCAGGCUAGCAGGAGUUCACCUUCAGAGGCUGUAGGAGUACUUUGUUUGCCACUUGGAUAUCUUCGGCGAGGGCUCGACAGCUGAUGAGUAGAGGAUGCGUUGCUUUUCUGGCGACUGUGACAGAGGUGCCUACGGCAGCGCCGGGACUCGAGGAUAUUCCUAUAGUCCGCGAGUUUCCGGACGUGUUUUUUUCGGAGUUGACAACGAUGCUGCCGGAGAGGGAGAUAGAGUUUGUGAUUGAUGUAGUUCCUGGAAUUACACCAAUCUCAAAGGCACAUUACAGGAUGGCACCGACGGAGCUGAGAGAGCUAAAGGCGCAGCUUCAGGAUUGGAUUGAUAAGGGGUUUGUGAGACCCAGUGUGUCGCCUUGGAGAGCGCCGGUGUUGUUUGUAAAGAAGAAGGAUGGUUCGCUCAGGUUGUGUGUAGAUUACCGGGAGCUAAAUAAGGUGACUAUCAAGAAUAAAUAUCCUUUGCCGUGCAUUGGUGAUCUGUCUGAUCAGCUGCAAGGAUUUUAUGUCUUCUCGAAGAUUGACCUCCAAUCCGGUUACCACCAGUUGAGGGUGUGGGCCGAGGAUGUUCCCAAGACGGCUUUUCGGACUCGGUACGGGGACUAUGAGUUUACGGUGAUGCCGUUUGGAUUGACGAAUGCCCCUGCGGCAUUCAUGGAUUUGAUGAACAGAGUGUUCAAGCCAUUCUUAGAUAGGUUUAUGGUAGUCUUCAUUGAUGAUAUUCUGAUAUACUCCCGGAGCGAUGCCGAGCAUGAGGAGCACUUGAGGACUGUGCUACAGCUUCUGCGAGAGAAGAAGUUGUAUGCCAAGUUAAAGAAGUACGAGUUCUGGUUGCGGGAGGUUGCUUUCUUGGGCCACGUGAUAUCUGCGGUUGGAGUGGCAGUGGACCCGAAGAAGAGUGAUGCUAUUCAGGAUUGGCCCAGACCGACGACGGUGACAAAGGUGAGGAGUUUUCUUGGACUUGUAGGUUAUUACCAUCGAUUUGUGGAAGGCUUUGCGAAGCUUUCCACACCACUCACUCGACUGACUCGUAAAGGAAUUAAGUUUGUCUGGAGUGAGGAUUGCCAGAGGAGCUUCGAUGAGUUGAGACAAAGGUUGACGUCAGCUCCUAUCCUUGCCCUUCCAGUGAUGGGGGAAGGAUUUGUGAUUUACAGUGAUGCAUCGCAUAGUGGUUUAGGCUGUGUGCUGAUGCAGCAUGGUAGGGUAAUUGCUUAUGCUUCACGGCAGUUAAAGGAUUACGAGAAGAAUUACCCUACUCAUGACUUGGAGCUUGCCGCGGUAGUUUUUGCUUUGAAGUUGUGGCGGCAUUACUUGUACGGUGAGCACUGCGAGGUUUUCACCGAUCAUAAAAGUCUCAAGUAUCUGUUCACCGAGAGGGAGUUGAAUUUGAGGCAACGCCGGUGGUUGGAGUUACUGAAGGACUAUGAUAUUAGUAUUCAGUAUCAUCCCGGCAAGGCGAAUGUGGUGGCAGAUGCGUUGAGCAGGAGGGCAGUGCAAAGCUUGAGCAUGUUGAUCACUCAGCAAAGGCCGUUACUCGAGGAGCUGCAGCGGCCGAGGCUCGAGAUAGUGUACUCUGGAUCUACUGCGAGACUGAUGUCUAUGGUCUUGCAACCCACUCUGUUGGAUAGGAUCCGAGAGAAACAGGGUGGAGAUCCGCACUUGUCGAGGAUUCGAGAGCAGCUAGAGAGGGGACAGGCAGAGGGUUUUGUUGUGGACAGUUCGGGAGUACUGCGGUAUAGGGACCGAUUGUGUAUAUCUAUGGAUUCAGAGAUCCGAGAGGACAUUUUGAGAGAGGCUCACUGUUCACCUUAUAAGAUUCACCCCGGUGGAACGAAGAUGUAUAAGGAUUUAAAGACACAGUUUUGAUGAAAUGGAAUGAAGAGGGACAUUGACAGAUUUGUGGCUCAGUGUCUGACUUGUCAAUAGGUAAAGGCCGAGCAUCAGGUACCUGCUGGCAAGCUUCAGAGUCUGCCAGUGCCCGAGUGGAAAUGGGAGCAGAUCACGGUAGACUUCGUCGUGGGAUUGCCGAGUGCACAGUGUGGCUAUGAUGCGAUUUGGGUGAUAGUGGACAGACUAACUAAGUCUGCUCACUUCCUACCGGUUCAGACCACCUGGUCCAGGGAGAGACUCGCGCAGCUAUAUCUGGAUGAGAUUGUUAGGCUGCAUGGCGUGCUGAUUUUGAUCGUAUUUGAUAGGGAUCCGAGGUUUGUAUCACACUUCUGGAGGAGUUUGCAGACAGCCUUGGGUACACAGUUGCAGUUCAGCACAACGUUUCACCCACAAACAGAUGGUCAGUCAGAGCGGACUAUUCAGACUCUAGAGGACAUGCUGAGAGCAUGCGUCCUGAACUUUGGAGGAGGGUGGUAUCGACAUUUGAGACUGGUUGAGUUUGCGUACAACAACAGCUAUCAAGCGAGCAUCCAGAUGGCUCCGUUUGAGGCGUUGUAUGGACGCAGGUGUCGAUCCCCUUUGUUUUGGAGCGAUGUGGGUGAGAGAAAAACGCUUGGGCCUGAGAUUCUGAUUGAGGCUGAGGAAAAGAUAAAAGAGGCGCGACGGCACAUAUUAGCAGCCCAGAGUCGACAGAGGAGCUAUGCUGAUACCCGGAGACAAGACAUGGAGUUCCAGGUGGGAGAUCAUGUGUUUCUUAAACUCUCGCCUUCCAGAGGAAUUCGCCGAUUUGGAGUACGUGGAAAGCUCAGUCCAUGUUUUGUAGUCCCUUUUGAGGUAUUGGAGCGAGUCGGGCCAGUUGCUUACAGGAUUGCUCUACCUCCACGACUAGCCGGCAUUCACGAUGUUUUCACGUCUCGGCUUUGAGGAGAUAUGUGUUCAAUCCCUCCCACGUGAUAGACUUCACUCCGCUUAAGAUUGGAGAGAACUUAAGAUACGAGCAGCGACCGGUGCGGAUUCUGGCUCGAGAGUCGAGGGAAUUGCGCAACCGAGUCAUACCCUUUGUAAAGGUGCAGUGGAGUAAUCACGAGGAGCGGAAUGCGACUUCGGAGCCGGAGACGGUGAUGAGAGAGUCCUACCCCUACCUUUUUGAGGCUCAGGAUUGAGAUAUGUUUCAGUUUCGCGGACAAAAUUUUUUGUAGUGGGGGAGGAUGUAGUGUUCGUGAUGUUUGGAUAGGAUUGGCUACAGUAUUAGUGACUGGUCGACAUCAUAGGAGAGUGUCGGACUGAGUCGGAGUCGUUUCUGUACAAAUUGGAUGCAGAAAUGGACUCGACGCACUCAAUUAAGCAAAAGUAGAGUUAUGCCAGAUUCGGGCGCCCAGAACACGGUUUAGGUCGCCCAGAACUGAGUACUGAAUUUAACUGAAAUUGGAAGCCAAUUCGGAUCCUAUAUUCCGGACGCCCAGAAGUGGGUCCGAAAACUUUACAUCGUGAAUAUCGUUUGUGUUGAUACGUGGGUGAUGGUAGGUGAGGUCCGCCGGAGCCGUUUACGGGCACAGUGCACCGCGGGCGGAGAAUCUGAAGUGGAACAAUUGUGUAGCCUGGAGGAUUCGGGCGCCCAUAAUGUGGAUCCGGGCGCCCGGAAGUGCCCGUUUCUGCAGGGACAUUAGAUUGUAGCAGUUGUUCCGGGGCUUAUCCUACCCUUCCUGCACCCUAUAAAUAGUUGGAGAGGGACCUUGGUGAGCUCUUUUCUCAGUUUCUUCACAGUGAACUCAGAAUUCCUCUCUCAAUCCUUCAAAUCUUCGCAAAUUGCUUCAUAAUCCACAACUCCAAGCUUGCUAGGUGCUGAUUUUGCAGUUCUUCAGCGACGACCUCCAGUGUUUUGGCUCGUGCGUGACGUAGGAAGGUCGGAUUUCAACGAAACUUGGUUUGCUGGAUUCUUGACUUCCAGAGGAAUCCACGAUUGCAGAUUUUGGUUGAGGUUAGUUUAGUCGAUUCCAUAUUUUUCUAGAUUGUUGUUACUUUGAAGCUGAAUUUGAGUUUUAGUGGUUUUUUCAAUGCAAUUCUUGGAUGGAACAGGAUUUUUGGACCUGAGAUUUGUACUCCAUCCUUAUUCACUAGAUUUGGAAUUUGUCUCACCCGAAUUGGAGAUUAUUAGGUGAGUUUUGACAUUGGAGUUGAGAUAAUUAAGCUUAAGUGCUAAAAUUUUGGUGCAUUGAUGGAUUUUGGCCUUUUUUGGUGCUUGAACCUUGAUGUAGCUUUGUUGCUGGACUUGAGGGUGUUUCGGUUGAGCCAGCAGGUUUUCCACAGCUGAGAGAGUUCUUUGCUGCUAGGGAUUAGCUCUUGAGGUGGGUUUUCAUCGGUGUUACUCCUAAGCCGUAUUAGUCGACAUGUGUGAUUUCAGUUUUUGGUAGAUCAUGUGUUAGCUCAAUUUCUUGAUUAGAUCAUGUAUAAAAUCAGAAUUGAGAGCAUGAUUAAUAAUUCGUUAAAUAUGCAUGUUGGACUUGGAACUUGACUUAAGAGAAAACCAACGUUUUGACCCGUCAUAUGAUUCUACUACCUGAUUUAGCUCUAGGAGCCUGGUUUGAUUGUAUCACCGCUGUUUCAGCGCGGUGGAUACCCGGGGUAGUUUAGAAUGCAUUUACGCUCGUGCUGGGACGCCGAGCUUAUUUUUACAGCAGAGUCUAAGCUGUUUCGGGUUGUCGGGUGCAGUCAGGGUGGACGGUGGACCCAGAUUCUUAUUUUUCGUAUCAGAUUGUGCCGAGGGCACGUGGGUUCAAUUUCUAGACCGGUUUUGACCCUAACUGCUUAUCUUUAGCUGAUUAGAGCUUGAUUUAGCUCGACAGAGAUACGCUUGCAUACUCGGUUGGGUAGCGCCCACGAGUGCCACUCCGGAGUCGGGCUUAGUGCAUUUGCGUUGGUGUCGUUCGAGCAGGUUGGACUUGCUCUCCACGGACUUGUUAGUGUGGAGGUAGCUGAUUAGUUACAACCUGGCGGGACGAGUGUGUUCACAGUCCCAGGGACGGGUAUGAUUACAGUUCCUAUUCAAGAUUGGGUCUGUGUUGACACUGUUCUACAGUUGGUUAGAUUAGAGCAUGAUAGUAUAGAGGCUGAUAGCUGUAGAUAUGUUUCAGCUUUCCUUACUAUUUCUUGCUUACCCCUGUAGACUUAGUGGGUGGACCGAUGAGUUUGAGGGUGGUACCCACUGAGGACUACUUGUUUUUACAGUAGUUCUCACGCCCAGUUUGUUUCCACUGUUUUGCAGAGCCAUUGUCUUCGGCUGCUGCUGUCACUGAUUUUGAUCGUGGCAAGGGCGUCUUGAUCUUGGAGCUACAUGAGGAGAGUGGGAGUUUGGUAAGACUUUCAAUUUGGUGUUUAAUGGAGUUUAAUACUGGUACUAAAGAGUACCUCAGGAGUUCCUCAUAAUUUGAAGCUUGAAAAACUAUUUUUUUGUAUUGUAUAUCAAUGCACAGUUUGAAUACCGGUACCGCCAGUACAAGUACUCCAAGCUGAGUAUCGGCACUCAACUUCACGACGGGCUGAAUAUGUUGGAUUUGACACCUAUUUAAUGUAAUCUUGUUCCUACAGAUUAUGGCUAGUUUAGGAACACUUUAAAGAGGAUUUUUAAGAGAAGAUUGACAGCUAAAGGUGAAUCAGAGACUCGGAUGGACUGUGAAGAGCGUUUCCUACUAGGAUUGGGAUUUUAGAAUUAUAUAAACCCUUGUAAUUUAUAUUUUAAAGUUUAAAGCUUCAAUGUAGAUACUCUAGAUGAGGAAAAAACAUGGAGAGAUCCUGACAGAGUUUCUUGUAAUUUAAUCUUACUCCUUGUACGUUUGUGCCUUGGAUUAACCAAAGAAUGCCUUUAGGUUGCUUGCCUGUGGACCUAAGUCGAAUUACCAAUGGCUAAACCAUGUAAAUUCUGUGUUCAUGUUCUCUUGUUUGAUUUAUUGCUUUAUUAUCCUCGUGCUUGCUUUCUACGAUCAUUCUUGUCUAUAUUUAUCUACGAAAGAUUUUAUUUUCACUGCUCGUAUAUUGUGUGGAUUUAAGAUAUACUCAAUAAACCCUCGGCCAUUCCCUUAAGGAUCACCCACGAAGGUUUUCUAAUGCUCCAAACCCGCGGAACACAGAGCUACGACUGAGCUGGGUCUAUAUUCCACCAUUCAAGACCCUUGAGUAGUAAUAGGUUAACCGAGGAUGCGGAUAUUCUCUCUAUUAAGAUUGCACACAAACUGCUUGCAAAUUUCUUAAUAUUUUCUCUAUAUUUCUUAUUCAUUUAUUAUGACAGAAUCUGUAAUGUAUUGAACUUUUGCAAAUAGCGGGUUGCUAGUGAUGACUAGUAAUAAAAACUAUUCGGACAAUCUUAGUGGUGUUUGGGAGGCAUUAGAGUGUUUCGGAGCAAAACGACGCGAAAACAAACUUUGCAAAGCUAAAUUUGCAAAACUUCAUAAUUUUAUUUGGUACCAGCACUGGACCGGAGUACCGUUCCUCAGCUGUUGGGAGAUUGGGAGAACUCUUGGGUUUGUGGAAUUCCCCUCAUGCACUAGUAUUGAUUCAGACGGAUACCAGUACACAAUAGAAAACAAAGAAAACCAAUGUUCGGAUUCUAUGAAACUGGUCUGGAGUACCAAAACUAUUGAGUUGUGUAUUGGUAUUGAAGUCCAUGUACUGGAACUCAACCUUGCGAACAACAUAUUUUGGUUGGUUUCAAAUAUCGUUGAUUGGAGGGUUUAAAUGCAAAUGUAGCACUUCUACAUAAACCCUUUUCACUAGCUAAAUCCUAGUCUCUCCUAUUUUUCCUCUUACGGUUGCACUCUCUUCUUUCUCUCUCUAGAAAGGGAGAAGCCCUGGUUACCCUAUUGCUAUAUCUUGGAGAUCUAUCUCUUUGGAGCUUGGAAGAGAUCAAGAGCAUCAAACGGAUGCUCUAGGAGGGAGAAGGCAAUCAUUUCAACUCACAUUUCUCUUAGUUGGAAAAGAAAAAGGUGAGUUUGGGAUUUUUAGGAUUUAUUUUUGGAUUUUUCUCAAAUAUGAGAUUUGAGGGUUCUAACUUGGUUAGAACUCUUUUUUAGAAUUUUUUAGAAUUCUAAAGAGAUCUAUGAGCAUGUAUUAGGGAAGAUCCAAGAAAAGAUAUGGAAUAUGUUACGACAUAUUUAGUAUCUUAUGCUAUGUUUGAUAUCCCCUUUGUCUAAAAUCUUCUUUGUUUUAUGCAUGUAUUAUGUGUAAUAAGUAAUCUAAAAUAUAUUUUGUUGCAUACCAGGAGAGCUAGUGGGUCAAGAUGGGUUAUAAGCAUUUGACCUAGGAGAUGGGAUUUCUAAUAUUUUGUAUGUUAAAAAAAAUAUAUGUGACAUAGAUGUGUUGAGUAUCAUAUAAACUUCGGAACAUACGUGAAAUAAGAGUGAUAUUUAAUUUAGGUUGGAACAUAUGGUGUGAACAUAGUGACAUAUGAACUCUAAGCAAAAUUUGUGCUAGAGAACAAGGGAUUGUGUAUACGAGCAUGGUGGGUAACCUUAGAAGUCAUGAGAAUUUACAUUGUAACUAUGAGACAUGCUGCCACCUUUCAGAAGUAUUAAAAAGGGUGAUACCGAUUACCCUCGAUGCCCAACUCCUUAUUGGAAGAUGUUGAUCCCCUCGACUCCCUAUUGUACUUGGUGAUGUCGAUUUCUUUCUACGCUAAGUGCUUACCGAUUGAAGGGAUGCUGAUAGCCUUUGACUCUUCAUGAGGUAUACAGCAAGAAGUGAAACCAAACACAAUAGUUGGUUAGAGAUAAGGAAAGAUUUGGGAUACCCAUGUAGGCUAAUGACAAAAUAAUUCAUUGUGACAUAUAGCAAUAUUUGAGGCAUAGUAGCAGUACUUUCCCUUUCAUGCAUUUUUAUUGUAAAAAUAGUUAGUUCAAUUAUGUAAGGUACCGGACUUCUAAAAACAAUGAAGUUACGGUGUACAUUUAAGUAAUUCCGGUGAGGUUGCGGUGGAAUGUAUCCGAGAGUUGUGGGACUCGGAAGUGCGUCAUUUGCGGAGGUAAACAUGACCCGAACCAUUGCAAGCAAAAAGAGGGAAGAUGCUUCACGUGUGGUCAGGCGGGGCACAUUAGCCGCCACUGUCCAAGGAGGACCUCGCCUGUCCCGUCUGUUGCAUCGUCUUUGGCGAUUUCGGGUCAUUAUGGAGGAGCCCCACCUACUGUUGCUUUAGCUGGACACGCGAUGGCACCUCGUCAGCCUGAGGUGGCCCAGUCGACUCCGAGUGACCAGGUGUUUGCCGCUCAAGUCGAGGAACCUGCUGCUGUCAAAGAUGCUAUGGCAGGUAUGGUUUAGUUGCAGCAAAGGUGUGUUUCUGCAUAAUGUUAAAUUGGUGCAUUGCAUGCAUUUUCAUGGUCAGCUGCUACUAUUUAUGCAUGUCCGUUCGGCGGUCCGUCUGAUGUGCCCGAACCGUGCCAAAUUGGUAGUGGAUUCGGGGCGGGGCGUGACAAAUUACUACUGAUGUUCUACUAAUGCCUUCUUUGGACUGAUUGAAUGUUGAGUACUACUUUUGGCGGCUGCACUCGCUAAAAACUUAUUGGAAGUUUUCACCCCUUUGUUGUUUACACUUUUUUAGAGCCUUCUACCGCCGGUAAAGCAAGGGAUCGCAGCAAGAGCAUCACGGACUAGCUAGAUCAUUGUGAGUGGUCUAGAGGGUACCUCUUUGUAUGGACAUGAAAAUUGUAAUAUUUUGGAAAGAUCAAGUGUUGUAAACUUUAAAGAGUAUUAUUUGUAAUGGUUUCAACUUAGCAGUUUAAAUACUCUGAUGCUUUAUGUACCCAUAUUAUAUGCGUUAUAAAGGUUGAUGUAUGUUUCCACUUCAUGUAGAUAGGAGGAACCUUGCCUGUUCGGCGGGUCCAUUGUAUGUGCCAGAGCAAAUCCAAAUGGCAGGACUAGGAGCGUAACACAAGUGCUCGUAUAUUUAUAGGGGUUUCCAAUACCCUAAAAGGUAUCCAAUUCGGUUUAAGCGAUUGCCAACAUUUUCCACUCGCAUAUAGUGGGAUCAAUGCCAUUGUAACCACUUUCUCAAAAUUACAACAUCACUAAUUUCAUUCAUACAGAGAAAUGAACAGUGCGACCGCUGAGGCAACCUGAAUUUGGGAGUUCUACACUAGAAAUUGCAUAAGCCCAACAUAGAGACUAACUCUCAAAAGUAUAAGACUCAUGAUGCCCUAAAUCAUUAGAUUACAUUAGGUUUGACAUCUCUAAUCUUUCAAAAGGCCAUACUAACCUCUUUUGUGCACAUCAUAACACUAUAUUUAUGAUUAUAUCGCAAUCCUAUAGUGAUGCAACCUGUCGAUAAUGAGUCAAAAUGUCUUUAUAUAAUCUAACUAAUUUUUCUUGAGCCCUCAUGCAACUAAGUUGAGAAUUUGACUACUUUCCUAGCAAUGCCCCGUAAAGCCACAUCGCUCAUAGCGGUAGGAAAUAUGUCAAAGUAGCAAUAUCAAUUUUUUCACCUUAUAACAUAAUCAAAAGUCACUAAGGGCAUCGAAUACAUAUUGGACAAAACCUCAAAAAUGUUCAUAAGAACUCAUAUGAUGUGGAGUAGGGAUCCAUCCAUUCACUCAUCUCUUUCAUCUUGUCACCCAAGCACAUAUAGUAUGAAAUUCCUUCCAUAGCACAGAAACUCAGUAAGCAUAUGUCUUUCUCAAUGCUAUGCAGUUCUUGGUUUAGUCACUCCUAAAGUGUCAAACCUGAGUUCUCCAUGUGCUUGCUAUCUCAAGCGCCAAAUGGUGACCUCACAUCCAGCUCCAAAAUAUAUAGGCUAUACGGAUUGUGAGACUAUCCGUAUGCAAUCUCACUAAUGACUUCAUCUUAGUACCAAAUAAGGCGGCUUCCUUUAAUGUCUUAUUUUCUUCUCACUCUCUAUAGUGCCAAAAAGAAUGGCUCUCCGUAUGAGUGGGCCAAUCUGCAUGCAACAUAGUCUUAAUCUAUUUUUCAACAAGGUAGGGUAUAUAUAUGUGUGCUAAUCUUAAUGACUAUUUCAAGAAUAAUUUGAAUUUAAAUUAUUAAAGAAUAUCACAAAACACAACUAAAUGAUCAACUAUAUACAAAGUCAAACCAUAGGAAGUUAGCAACCAUGCAACUCGUAGAAAAAUGAUCUAGGAUUAAUUCUUUCUGCGCCAUCACCUCCUGAGUCAUUAUACAGCAAACCACAAACUCUACCUCCAUAGUGGAUAGAGCUGUACUAAUAUGCUUCUUCCUACUUCAAGAUAUGGCGCCAUUAUUAAGUAAAAAAGCAUAUCCUGAGGUCGACUUAAACUCAUCAGAGUCACCAGUCCAAUCCGCAUCGCUAUAAUCGACGAGACAUAAAGUCGAAUCCUCUUUACUGCCUUCCAAAGGUCCAAUCUAGGAUUGGGAAAUCAGCUUACUAGCAUAUGGGAUCCCUCUUAAGGUAGCGGCGAUCAAAGAUUUCCUAAUUUAUGUCAAACUAGGUUAAAAUUGGAGACUUCUAAAUAUGGGGCUUAUGCUUGGAUUUGCUGGGUUGGAAACUCUCUUGUAGGUUGGAAUUGAAGUCCCAACAAUUUGAUUUGGAGUAAUUUUAAGGAUUUCUUGAGGUCAGGAUUUUCUCCCUAUUUUUCUUAUGAUUUUUUUGAGAAUUUUGGUAUAAGAAUUUUGGGAGGUUUUUAUUACUUGAAAAAAUUUCUUAGGAUUAGAAGAAAAAAGAGGGAACAACUUUGAUUGAAGAAAAGAAAGGAUUUCGGCAACUAUCCGGUGAGUUUGAUCUAACUGAGAACGAUGAACUCCUUCGAUGUCAUCUACUUUUUGAUUGAUCUUGAUUCUUUGAUAAACAUGACAUUAGGAACCCUCAUUGUUGAUAUGAAACAUAGCAUUGAGACUAUAUGCAUGUUUGUUGUACGUUCCCUAAUAGUAUGUUGAUAUAGUCAAGACAUUUGAACUCCAUAUUGAGAUAUGGACAUCUACUUAGUAGUGCUUGGUUACUUCUACUCCUUAUAUCAUAUUGAUCAAAUUGAGAUAGACCGAAUCUCUUACUAGAUUUGCACAUAUGUUGAGAUUACUAGUUUACACAAUCCCUAAUAAAUGAAAUGUUGAGAUAUAAUAUUAGAGUAGAGAACUCUUAUGUGACCAUGGGUCAAAUACAUGGGAUUGGUGGCUUUUGAGCAUUAUGCAUGAGACAAAAGCUUAUUAGAGCCAAAUUGAGCUCAACUAGCACAUUGCUUGUGAGAGUCGCUCCCUACAAUCCAAGGCACUCCGGAUGUUAGCCAUUGUGGCAGGCUCGCCAUUGCAUUUUGAGCAUCAAUUUAGCAAUAGGUGUAAGGCAUAUAGGAUGCUGAACAUGGUCGAAGAGAUAAGGUGCAAGCUAGGACCUACUCUAAGUAGGUCUCCAAAGAUUGGGCAAGUAUUGGUAUUUGGCUAUGUUAAACCAAAUUGAUAUAUAGUUGAAAGUUGAGACAUGAUUCCUUCUACUUCAAGUAGCAUAAAGGCAUAGUAGUAUUACACCAUUCUUUUGAUUAUCAUACACUAGUUAUAGUUAUUUCAUGCUUCCUUUAUUAUAGCUAUUAUCUCCAGUGUUCUUAAUACUAAUGUCUCAGUUGACAUAGCGGUGUAGCGUGCUUCUUUCGAUGGUGGUACCUACUAGAAAGUAUAUUUUAUAAUUCUGACACCUAAUGGUUUGGUGUUUUUUUUUUAAAGCCUUUAGAUACGUGGGAAGCACUGGAUCGUGGAAAGGGAGUUGCAUAAUAGCUUGAGCCUCUCGCCUAUUUGGACCGAGUAGAGAUUGAUCUUUAUAUUUUGGAGAGUUAUGUGGAUUUGACAAUGUACUAAUUAUGGUUCUAACCAUGUAUUAAUAACAUGGGGGUUGGUGAGAAAAAUUAUUUAUCUAUUUUGGAAAUGAUGUUUGGACGUAAACUAUUUCUAGUUUACUAGUAGUUGAUGAAUAUGCUCUAGAUAAUUAUCAACUUGGAUAUCAUCUUUGGUAUAAAAGUUGUUGAAAUUGGAUGUUGUUGACACAUUGUGUAGUGUUCUAAAAAUUUAACUGUCGGGAUGAUUAUAGUUUAGGCAACUCGUUGACAUAUCUUUAGAAGUAUCGGGACGAGUUGAAAUCGUUUUGACCUAAAAUGGAUGUUACAAACGAAACCAAAAUUGGAUUUAAUUCAGCGGGAUCAAGAUAGUACCCUUAACUCGUGCCUUGGGUGCAAUUUAUACUACACACAACCCCUAAUUGGGUUUUUGGUAUCUAGUGCUCGUAUGAACAUGGCACCCCUUAUCAUUCCCCCUACUUGUCUUCUCAUUCCUCAUAAUCCCUUUCUUUUGCCUCUUUCCCCUCUCCACUCCUUCCCACCUGUGAGCUUUCUCCUUGCGCAGGCUACUCCACCAGCACCUUAGAGAGGGAUGCAAGCUGCAUUAGUGAGGACGUUGAGUUUAGUUUCUAUAGUGAAGUGAGAAUUCUCCUCUUCUCCUCUAUUUUUGCUUCAAGCUACCCCUCCCCCUGCGCAUGGCUGCUAGGCCAGCUUGCUGCUAGCAAGUUGCAGUAAUAGCAGUAGCAGUAGGCCUACUGUAGUGCAAUGGCAGCAAGGGAGGGUAGCAGUGUUGCUGUGUGAGAGGGCCUUCAUUCUUCUUUUCUCCUCCAUCUUAACUUACCACAGCAGCCAGAGGAGAAGCUCUAGCUGGAGCAAGUCGCUCAGCUGUAGUGGCAGGUUAUAGCCGGCAGUAGCAGCAACAACAAGCUGCAAGUUCUACAACUUCAGUAACAGCAGUGGCAACAAUUUCUUUAGGGAGAGAAAUUGGUGGAGUUUGUUGCAUCCAAUUGUUAAAUUGGAUCACAUUCCUAGAUUCUCUAUUUUAGAAGAGUUGGAGGAUCAAGUAAUUCAGCUGAAUUGCAGGAGAAUUGACCUUCAAUUGAGGUAACAUUUGUACAAUGCUGAAUUUUGUUUUUUUGGAUGUUAUAUGGGAGCAAUGAGAAAUUCUAAUUAUUGUUCACUUUUCCAACAUGAUAGCUAGAUCCUUGUUGGCCUGAGCUAAGUUAUACUUCAAGGUUUCUAAGGAUUGGAGUCAAGUUUAGCCAAAAUGUUAGGUUAAUAAAGUUAAAGUUGAGUUUUCUUGGAGAUGUAGGCUGAAAUUCGGAUUUUAAUUGGAAUUCUCUUGAUUCCUAAUUCGAUUCUCCUAUCUGAAUGCUUAGAUGCAAAAUUGGACUUGUGGUGUUGUUCUAGUGAAGGAGAGGAUCUUGUUGGCUUUUACCUCCACCUAAAUUUCGGAUAUUAUAUUAAUUAAAGCUAAAUUACAGAAAACCCCUUCUGUCAAUCCCCGCUUUUUUGCUUCCCUUCUUGUCAUUUAAAAACCUACACUUUACCCCCUUAAAAAAUAAAAAAUAUUCACAGAGGGGUACGCUAUAACAAAAUAACCAAAUUGCCUCUUAUUUUCUUCAGGGUGGGGGUGGGCGUGGGCGAGGGUGAGGCGGCAGAGACGAGCGAGGGCAUGUGUGUGGGCAUGGACAGAAAGGCGGGCGAGGGUGAGGCGGCAUGACCAACGAUGACCAACUAUUAAAAGGAAAAGAAAUAAAAAUAUACUAUUGCCUUAUUUUCAAAAUUUUUUGAAUCAUUUCCCAAAUUGUAGAUGUUCUAGAAUCACUAUAAAUUUGACCAUGGGAUUCAAAAAAAGGAUCUCUUGGGAGGGGGGGGGGGAGAAAAUAAAAUAAAAUAAAAUAAAAAUAAAAAUAAAAAGAAAGAAACAAAAAAAAAGAAAAAAAGGACCUCCCUCUCUCUCUCUAGAUCGGACAGAGAGAGAGAGAGAGAGAGAGAGAGAGAGAGAGAGAGAGAGGAGUUUGGGAACCUCCUCCCGCAGCCAACCAAAAAAGAAAAGAAAAGAAAAGAAAAAGAGAGAAAAAAAAAAAGAAAGUAAAAAAAAGAGUUAAAGCGUGAUCACGAUGGCGACGGCUACGACGAUUCUGAUGACGACGGCGACGACGACGGCGGCGGUGAUCAUGGCGACUUCCCCAACGACAACAAGAGAUAUGCAUGCAUACGAAUAGCGUAAGUGCGACUUUUUGUUGGUUUGAUCAACCCGACCAUCUUCGUGAUAGGUUUCGAACCGAUCAAAUUUGACAUCAAGUCGUCACUUCCGCCGUGCGCAUGCAUCGCUAAUCUCUAAACCGUGCAGCUAUCUUCGCGAUAGGCUCGACAUGGUCGAAAUGGGUGAUUGAGCACCAUUUAUUUUGCUAUGAAAACCGUGCGGCCAUCUUCGCGAUAGGCUCGACAUGGUCGAAAACAUAAACCGUGCGGCCAUCUUCGCGAUAUGCUCGACAUGGUGGAAAGGGUUGAUCGAGCGGCCAUCUUCGUGAUAGGCUCGACACGAUCAAACCCACCGCACAUUUGGACAAUAAAAAAAAAAACGAUGAACAUAUUUUGACUUGCCAUCUUCGCGAUAGGCAUUGUUCGAAUCAUUCGCCAUCUUCGUGAUAGGCUUCGAUUCGACUUGAUCAACACGACCAUCUUCGUGAUAGGCUCGGACCGAUCAAAUAAAAAAAAAUAAUAAUUAAAAAAAUGACGGACAUAUUUUAAUUUGCCAUCUUCGUGAUAGGCUUGGCCCGGGUUUGAUUCGGUUAAACCAAAUCGACCGCAUAAAUAUUUGGUUUGAACUGAACCCAACAUAAUUAUGAGUUCAAUUGGAUUUUAAUGAAAAAGGAGGAGUUAAGCUUAAGUCAAAUGGGCUUGGAUACAAACUCUAAUUGAACCAACCCAAGUUGACGUCGGUUCACGCAAGAGAUGGAUAAAAAAUAAAUUAAAGACCAAGUUGGUGAACCAAGUCUAAAAUGGUGAACCAAAUUCAUAACGGUGAACCAAAACACAUAUAUGGCAUUGAGCCGAACUCGCAACAGUGAACUGAACCAAAAUUGAGUUGAACCGAACCCAAGGAGAUGAACCGAACACAAAAUGAUGAACUGAAUUGACUCGUGAGCCGGUUCAACUCAAAUCGAAUGGAGACUCAAGAGCUUUGAACCAAACCAAAUAACUAAUCGGUUCGACCUGAACCAAACUAAAAGUUGGUUCAACUCAAAUUGAACCACAUGAGGAUCGAGUAGACCGAACCACGAGUCAGUCCAAAUUGAGCCGAACCACAAAAGGGUUCCAAGUCAAGCCGAACCAAAGCAUAUGCCGGGUUCAGCUCAUUACAAGUCGGUUCAGCCUAAACCGAACCAUAAGGGACUCGACUUGAACCGAAGUGGAUCCGAUCCGAACUGAACCGAAUCGGAUCCCUCUGAACCAAACCAAAGGGAUUCGACUUGAACCGAAGUGGAUCCGAUCCAAAUUGAACUGAACCGGAUCCAGUCUGAGCCAAGCCAUAAAGGAUUCAACUUGAUCCGGAGUGGAUCCAACUUGAACCGAACCAGGAAGGAGUCAACUUGAACCGAAGUGGAUCCGACAUGAACCGAGCUAGGAAGGAGUCAACUUGAACCGAAGUGGAUCUAAUCAGAAUCGAACCAGGAAGGAUUCGACUCGAACCAAAGCAGAUCCGAUCCGAACCGAACCAAAUGGAUUCAACUUGAACCGAAGUGGAUCCGACUUGAACCGAACCAGGAAGGAUUCGACUCGAACUGAAGCGGAUCCGAUCUGAACCGAACCAAAUGGAUUCAACUUGAUCCGAAGUGGAUCCGAUCCGGACCAAACCACAAAGGAUUCGACUCGAAUCAAAGUGGGUCCGGUCCGAACCAAACCAUGAAGGGUCCGAUUCGAACCAAACUAUGAGGGAUCUGACUCGAACCGAACCAAACCAUGAAGGAUUCGACUUGAACCGAAGUGGAUCCGAUCCGAACCAAACUGAAUCCGAUCUAAACCAAACCUUAAAGGAUCCGACUUGAACCGAACCAGGAAGGAGUCAACUUGAACCGAAGUGGAUCCAAUUCAAACUGAACCAGGAAGCAUUUGACUUAAACCAAAGUGGAUCCGAUCUGAACCGAACCACAAAGGAUUCAAUCUGAACCGAAGUGGUUUCAAUCUGAAUAGAAGCACAGGAGGUUCGAGCCAAGCCAAGUCGAACCGAUUACGAGUCGGUUCAGCCUAAACCGAACCAUAAAGGAUUCGACUUGAACUAAAGUGAAUCCGGUCUGAACUCAACCAAACCGAACCGGAUCCGAACUAAACCGAAUCGGAUCCCAUCCGAGCCAAACAUAAAGAAUUCGACUUGAACCGAAGUGGAUCCAAUAUGAACCGAACCAUAAAGGAUUCAACUCGAGCCGAAAUAGAUUCAACUCAAACCGAACCAUAAGGGAUUCGACUUGAACCAAAGUGGAUCCGAUCCGAGUCAAGCCAUAAAGGAUUUGACUUGAACCAAAUGGAUCCAAUCUAAACCAAACCAUAAAGGAUAUAACUGAACCACAAAGGAUUCAACACGAACCGAAGUGGGUCCGAUCCGAACUAAACCACAAAGGAUCCGACUCGAACUGAAGUAGGUCCAAUCCGAACCAAACAGGAUCCGACUUGAACCGACUCGAGCUGAAUUCGGUUCAACCAAAUCAGGAUCUGACUCGAACUAAAGUGGGUCCAAUCCGAAUUACGCAGAAUCCAACUUGAACCAAGGUGGGUCCGACCCGAACUAAACCACAAAGGAUCCGACUGGAACUGAAGUAGGUCCAAUCCGAACCAAACAGGAUCUGACUUGAACCGACUCGAGUUGAAUUUGGUUCAACCCGAUUAGGAUCUCACUCGAACUGAAGUGGGUCCAAUCCGAAUCAAGCAGGAUCCGACUCGAACCAAGGUGGGUCCGACUCGAACCAAACCAUGAAGAAUCCGACUCGAAUAGAACCAUGAAGAAUCUGAUUCGAACCGAACCAAAGCAUAACGGUUCAACUCAAACCAAGUCUUGAUGGGUCCCAAACCCAAGCAUAACGGUUCAACCCAAACAAAGCCUUGAUGGGUCCCGAACCAAAGCAUAACGGUUCAACCCAAACCAAACCCAAAGCGACCAAACAAACUUGAGGUCGCCCAACUCAAACCAAAUCUUGAUGGGUCCCGAACCAAAGUAUAACGGUCGACCCAAACCAAACUUGGAAGGGGUAAACCAAGUGAAAACCUAAGACGGUUCAUCCCAAAUCAAAUACAAGAGGUUCAAGCUAACCCAAAACCAAAGUCCACAAAUAAAUCCCAAAAUCCAAAAUCCACAAAUAAAUCCUAAAACCUAAAGUCCACAAAUAAAAUUCCAAAAUCCAAAGUCCACAAAUAAAAUCCCAAAACCUAAAGUCCAUAAAUAAAGCCCAAAACCUAAAGUCCACAAAUAAAACCCCGAAAUCCAAAGCCUCUCAAAUCUAAACGACCGUAAAGUCGUUAAACUAAUCUCAAAUUCAAACGACCGAAACGUCGUUAAACUAAACCCAAAUCCAAACGACCGAAACGUCGUUAAACUAAACCCAAAUUCAAACGACCGAAACGUCAUUAAACUAAACCCGACGACCGAAAUGUUGUUAAACUAAACCCAAAUCUAAACGACCGAAACGUCGUUAAACUAAACUCAAAUUCAAACGACCGAAACGUCGUUAAACUAAACCCAAAUUCAAAUGACCGAAACGUCGUUAAACUAAACCCAACGACCGAAACGUCGUUAAACUAAGCCCAAAUUCAAACGACCGAAACGUCACUAAACUAAACCCAAAUUCAAACGACCGAAACGUCGCUAAACAAACCCAAACCCAAACGACCGUAAAGUCGUUAAACUAAACCCAAUCCAAAAUAUCUCCAAAUCGACAGAGUUCUAAAUCAUAUACUGAGAAUUCAGUCAAAUGAUAUCAAGUUUAUUUGAACUCUAACCUAUAUACUUAGAGUUCAUCCGACUAACCCUAACACAUAUACCUAGGGUCUAGUCAGUCUUUUACUCUAGCACAUAUACCUAGAGUGGAAGUCAAGUCGUGCUCGACUAGUCCUAACCCAUAUACUUAGGGUCUAGUCAGCCUUUUGCUCUAGCACAUAUACCUAGAAUGAAAGUCAAUCUGUGCUCGACUAGUCCUAACCCAUAUACUUAGGGUCUAGUCAGCCUUUUGCUCUAGCACAUAUACCUAGAGUGAAAUCCAUACCCGAUCGAGCUCUAAUACAUAUACUUGGAGCUCAUACAAAUCAAAUCCGACUACCCCUAACACAUAUACUUAGGGCUUAGUCAGAUCUUCACUCUGGCACAUAUAACUAGAGUGAAAACAUAUGAAACUCGGUUAAUCCUGAUCCAUAGACUCAGGAAUUAGCCACUCUCUACUUUCGGGUAAUAUCAAAUCCGAUUUACCUCAAUACAUAUACUUGGGGUUUGGUCACAUCUCCACCAUGGGAUAUACAACCAAGGUGAACCCAACUGCCAUGUCAUUAAACUGAGCACCAAACUUAAACCGACCGCCAUGUCAUUAAACUGAGCAUCAAAACUUCAAUCGACCACCUAGUCGCUAAAUUCAUGUACAAUGGGGGUAUGCCCCUGCUUAAGCCAUGUACACGGCAAAUCAUAUUAAUAAAAUUUUAUUUGCUUGUUUGGUUUCCUUUAUUAUCAGCAUUUAUAUUUGGUCUCUUAAUCGAGGGUUCUUUAACACCGAAAGUGUGGGGUAAUUAACAGCAAAUUCUUGAGUCUGUUGGAAGUCAUGAACCUAUAAUCCUGAUUUCAAAAUAAAAUAUAAACAAAUUUUAUCUCUACCAUGAAUGACCACUCGCCCUAGAAACAACCUACGGCGGGGCCGGUUCGUUCGCGGCAGAUAGUAAGUAAAUCCUGGAGUCUUGGGUCAUGUGUACUAUGAAUUAGAUGCUUCUUUGUGAUCCUAAGUAAGAGAGGAAACCUAGGAAUUAAGUAUUACCAGCAGAUUUAAGGUGAUCAUCACUGAAUUCUAUUUUUCUGUUACGGCGGUGGGCCACCAACAAAUACGUUCUAUAUACUUGUUAUGGUAUAUAGAGAUCUCCAUAAAAAGUAAAAUAGAAAAAACGAGAGAGGAAGAAGACAAAUCAAAGAAUCUGGUACGUUGUCGUGGAAGCAAAAGGAAACUAAUAAUAAUGAAGAAAAGUCACCAGGAUGAUGCGUCCAUACAACUUGCAAAAUUAAUUAGUGCCCGGCUCGGCUUCAACUUUAUUAAUACCGGCUUCAUUAACCAAAUAAUCCGGCCUACCUAUUUAUAACUAAUUACAUAGAAUCCUACUCUCAUUCGAUUUCAUCUUAAUCACAAUUUAAAUAAUAAUCGAAUAUAUCUUAACCAUAAUCAAAUAUAAUAAUAGAUGAGAUCAAAUAAUCUAAUCCUAAUCUCAUUAGCAUUAUCUUUAACACUCCCCCAUAAUGCUAAUGUUCUUCACACCGAUCUUCUCUCGGCAAAAUAUGAAUUUCUCCAAUGGUAGUGGCUUUGUGAAAAUAUAGGUCAUCUGCUCCUCGAUUGCGUAGUGUAUCAACUUGAACCCUUCUCAUACUUUUUUGAUCACCAACUGAACUUGUCCAAUCACUAUUAAAACAACCAAAAUAAAUCGUUAGGGUUAAUAUACCACAAUCGGUGGUCUCUUGUUCCUUUCAAAUCUCUCAAUAUCCUUUUCGCCUUAUAUAUCCACUUAAAUCCAAUAAUUUCUUUAUCAAUAGGCGAUUCAACAAACUCGUAGAUAUUAUUUUUCCUUAACGCCGCAUUUUCUUUAUUCGUAGCCUUACAUCAAUCAUUAGAUUUUGCCACCUCCUCAAAGUUUUGUGAUUCUCCACAUUGUGAAUACAUGCACUGUUCGUAUAUUUCACUAAGUGAUCUUACUUUUCUUGGCGUCGUCUCUGGAGAAGUUUCUGGUGAAAUUCGCGGUGAAGCUUGUGGUGUUGUUUCUGUGCUUGUUGUAUUUUCACCAUUGUUUCUAUUUUCAAUUGCGGUUUCAUUUUCGAAUAUCAGAAGUGCAUUAUCCUGCACUUUUGCGCUCCAAUCCCAAGCUUUUUGUUCAUCAAAUAUAGCAUCACGACUUAUAAUUAAAGAGUUAGUAGCAGGAUUAUAAAAUCGAUAGACUUUACUUCUUUCGCUAUAUCCAACAAAAAUACACUUCUGACUAUUAUCAUCAAAUUUUUGCCUGUUUUGUGAUGGGGUAUGAACAAAAGAAACCGAUCCAAAAAUUUUAAAGUGUUUUACCUUCGGUUUCCAGCUGGUCCAUGCUUCAUAAGGUAUAAUAUUUUCCAGCGCUAAAGUUGGACUUCUAUCGAAAAUGUAUACUGCAGUAGAUAGCGCUUCUGCCCAAAAUUAUUCGGGAGAUUUUUCGCUUCCAACAUUCUUUUUGCCAUCUCGAUUAAAUUUUUAUUUUUGCGCUCUGCAACACCGUUCUACUGAGGCGCGUAACUCGUUGUCAACUGCCUGUGGAUACCAUUAGCCUUACAAAAAUUUUCAAACUUGUUAGAAAUAAAUUCUCCCCCUCGAUCUGUACGGAGGGUCCUAAUAUAAUAACCAGAUUCGUUCUCAACCAAAUUUUUAAAUUUCUGAAAAACAUCAAAAGCUUCAGAUUUAUUUUUGAUAAAUAAACCCAAGUCAUCCGGCUAUAAUCAUCCAUGAAAACUACAAAAUAGUAAUUGUUGCUGAGCGACGGUGUUUGCAUUGGUCCACAUACAUCUGCAUGUAUCAAUUCUAAUAGUUCUUUGGCUCUCCAAUUGCUCUUUCUCGGAAAAGAGUCCCUAUGAUGCUUUUCUAGCACACAACUUUCACAUACAGAACCAUUAUUAUGCACCAAAGGCAAAUCAUCAACCAUAUUCUUUUUAUAUAAAAGAUUAAGUCCCUUAAAACUCAAGUGACUAUAUCAAUAGUGCCAUAACCAAUCAUCAUCUAGCACUACUUUUAUUGCAACAUGAACAGGAAAAACUUUAUUUUCUACCAUCGGAACUUCAAAAAGUAAAUUCUUUUUAUUUUUAUCUCCAUAAAUUGUGCACUUAGAAUCUUCAAAAAUAAACGAAUGAUCUUCUUUCAAAAAUUGACCCACACUAAAAAGAUUGGAAUUCAAUCCUGGAACAUAUAAGACAUUAUUUAUUUUUUGCAUUCCAGAAAUAUUUACUGCAAUUGUACCUCUUCCGUGCACGUCAUGAAUAUAGCCGUCACCCAUUGUCACGCGGCCUUCAACUGAUUUGUCCAAAUUAAUAAAGUUUUCUUCUUUUCUUGUUAUGUGACUGCUACAACCACUAUCGACAUACCAAAUAUUGUUAGUAGUUUUUUCUAAUGAACGACAUGCAAAAAGUACAUUAUCGUUUUCAUUCUUUUCACAAGUAAAAUUCGCAUUCUGUUGUUUCAAUUGACAAAAGCGCUCGAUAUGGCCAAAUUUUUUACAAUAAUAACAUUGAAUAUUUUUACGAUUAUGGAAUUGAUUGUUACCUACGUAGGUUCUCUGAUUUUAAUUAUCUGAUCCUUCAUUAUUUCUAUUAUUGAAACCACCUGAUCUACCGCCACGGCCUCUACCACGGCCACGACCACGGCCUCUGCCACGACCUCUGCCACGACCUCCAGAUGUUGAAGCUUGACGAUUGAAAGUAUCUGUACCACCUUUUUCAUCGCUUUUCGAUUCGCUUUGAAAAGUGUGCUCAGAAAAAUUUUCAGUUCUAUCUUUUCGUUCUUCAUGUGCUAAAAGAGAACCAAGAAGUUCGCUACAAGAUAAUUUAAAUAAAUCUUUUGCCUCUUCUAUAGCAGAAACAACAUCACUAUUUUUUUUCGUUAGACUUCUUAAAAUUUUUUCGACUACUGUUUGAUCAGUAAUCUGUUCACCAUAGGUAUGCAUCAAGAUAACUAAUUCCAUAACUUUAGAAUAAAAGGUAUGAAUAUUUUCAUUUUCUUGCAUAAAAGAAGCUUCAAAUCUUCUUUUUAAAGUUUGAAUCUUAACUCUAAAUACCUUUUCGUUGCCUUGGUAUUCCUUCUGUAAUAUAUCCCAUGCUUUCUUCGAUCGAGUAGCGCCGGCAAUGUGGGAAAAUAUCGAAUCGUCAACUGAUUGCUAAAUAAAGAAAAGCGCCUUUGCAUUUUUUUUAGAUUCUCUCCGGUUAUUUCCUUGCAUCCUUGUUCUACAAGAUCCCAUAAAUCUUGUGAUCACAACAAAGUCCGCAUCUUCACGCACCAAAAAUCAUAGUUGUCCCCUUUGAAUAUCGAGAAUCCUUGUGCAACUUCGUUAGCGCUGUUAAACGCCAUCGACACCGUCUUCUCUCGAAUCCAGGCAUACCACUUGUUACGGCAGUGGGCCACCAACAAAUACGUUCUAUAUACUUGUUAUGGUAUAUAGAGAUCUCCACAAAAAGUAAAAAAGAAAAAACGAGAGAGAAAGAAGACAAAUCAAAGAAUCUGGUACGUUGUCAUGGAAGCAAAAGGAAACUAAUAAUAAUGAAGAAAAGUCACCAGGAUGACGCGUCCGUACAACUUGCAAAAUUAAUUAGUGCCCGGCUCGGCUUCAACUUCGUUAAUACCGGCUUCAUUAACCAAAUAAUCCGGCCUACCUAUUUAUAAUUAAUUACAUAGAAUCCUACUCUCAUUCGAUUUCAUCUUAAUCACAAUUUAAAUAAUAACCGAAUAUAUCUUAACCAUAACCAAAUAUAAUAAUAGAUGAGAUCAAAUAAUCUAAUCCUAAUCUCAUUAGCAUUAUCUUUAACAUUUCCUUCAUAACGAGUCAAUUCUGUUAGAACUUCUAUUCGAUCUUUGAUUCCAUUAAAUCCAACAAGGAUUUUUGGGAUUCGUCUUCACUUUCCUUUUAAUUGGCACUGAGGGAAGAUGUUCGUGGAGUUUCAAUUUGAUCCAUGGUCACAUUAGCACUGCAGGUGGGCUUAUUUUUAUCGAAUUCGUCGAGAAACCUAUUUUAAGUCUAAUUGUAAUUUCAUCAUGUGUAUUCCUUGUUCAUCAUAGAUUGUUUAGCUCAAAUCUUUAUAUUUGCAUGUGUAAUAAUGAAAUUUGAAUUUGAAGCAUUUUUAACCUAUUUAUAGAUAAAUUUUAGUUGUUGAAUCUAGACUUGACUUGGAGAAAUUUUGCACUAUAUGCAAGUGAAUUGCUUUUGUUAGGAAUUAACUUUGUUAGCUAUUUUUACUGUUUUCUCAUUCUUCUUAGUGGCUUGUGAGUAGUCAGAUUAGUGUAAGUUGGAUUUACACUCGUACUGAGGAGCCAAAUGGAUUUUACAGUCUAGUUUAGGUUGCGUCUCAUAGUCAGGUACCAUCCGAAUUGACGGUGGUCCUAGAUCUUUGAUUUUGUAUCGAAUUGUGCCAUUGGCACGUGAGUCACAGCUUUGAGAUCUGAUUGAUUAUUUGCAAUGACUAUAGCCCGCGUGAGCCAGAUUUGAGCUCGAUUGAGUAUGCAGAUUCCUCGGCGGGUUUGCACCGGUCGAGUGCUGCUCCAGAGUUUGGCCUUUAGUGCGUUAAUGUUGCAGCAACCCUUCUUAGGCAACCUACCUUGUCUUGCCACACCAAAGGGUGGCGCAUGGUAGUAGGUUGGCAUAAGCUUGCCCGGCCUUGUGGCAAUCCUUUGGAUUGAGUUAAUCGUGUCUUCUCGAUAGAUAGUUGAUGCAUAUAUUAUAGUGAUAGUAUGACUUGAGCUUUAGUAGUGUCAUGACAUUGUAGCUGUAGAUUUCUUUUCAACUUUACUACUUAUGCUUCUUUACUUAUCCAACUUUACUUUUCAGUUUUCAUAGACUUAGUGGAUAGGCCGUCGGCGUCGGUGAUAGCACCCACUGAGGACUACUUGUUUACAACAGUUCUCACGCCCGUUGUUACCCUUUUUUCUUGCAGAGCCCUCUAUUCUCGUUGCUGCCAUUGAUCAAGGUAGGGAAGUCGUGAGUUAGAUCUCUACCUACUUCGACGGGUCGUGAUAGUGGAGUACUCUUUUGUGACAGCUUUUGGAUUAUAGUUUUUGUACAUAAAUAUGUAUAUAUUUUAUAUUUCAGAGUUGUGACAUGUGAUGUUGUACUCUUUGGACCUUAUGUUUGUACAGCGGACUAUCUUUUAGUUUAGCAGUUUCUUCUCAGCUCUGUUACUCGCUUAUAAUAGCUCUUGUAUACUUUACAGGUAGUUCUAUCGCUUCAUGUACAAAGGGCUUUCUGUUUAUGUGGCGAAUCAGUUGGCAAUCCUGAGUUGAACUACACCCCAUGGGAUGACACUUCGCGUGGAUGAGGGCGUCCUUGUGCACGCAACAGGUCUGUGUACGUGCCCAGAUUAGGCUUCCAUUAUGGCUCGGGGACUGACACGCCGCACAUAUAUAGAGAAGACUAUGUCCACUUAUGCAGAGGAGACACUAUCCAUAUGGUGGAUUUGCAUACAUCAGGUAUGCUUCUUAUUUCAAAAAAGAAAAAAAAAAUCCUACAUGUUUCCGCUAAAUGCUACUUUUAAUAUAAAAUGUCUUUGCAAAAGGGGCCCCGCGGGAUAAUAACAACUCCUACCAUGCAGAAGCCCAACUGUGGAGUUUUAGGGCAAGGAACUUCAUUUUCUUAUCUACGGGCAUAUCUUUUAUAUUCUAAAAUGCGCCUCGCUCAUGUCCUUGUUAAUUAGUCGAUAAAGUCCUUCGCCUACAGACCUCCCAAAUAUUUCGGAAGCUCUACUUUGAUACUAGGAUCGAACAACCGAUCUAUGUAAAGUAAUGCGGUCCACAGCAUUACCGCAGACCGUGACCAUGCACAGACACCUCUCCCUAUGGAGUGUCAUCAUGGAAGGGUUCUCAAAGCCAAUAGACUCUGAAUCAAGGUCGUCACCUAGGAUUGAGCUCACUCUGAUACGAAGUGACAUAGCCCUAAAGUCGCAUUGAGAGGAAACAAGCAUAAGGACAAAAAAAGAGAUACACAAAGAAGGCAAUUCUUCAAAGAGAGGAAAAUAUUAUCGACCAAAACUCCAAACUCCUUUUAAUAACCAAACACAAUAUAUAUGCAAGUAAUAUCCAAAUGCUACUAAAAAAAUAAAAUAGAAUCUACAACAUCUCUAAACCUAAUCUGACCAGAAAUAACCAUAAUCGACUCAACAAUGUAACUCAAAAUAGAAUAACCUAAAAGUACAAACUCAGAGACCUAAACAAUUGAAUUUGGGUCCCAUAUAGGGCCAAACCACUAUAUUGUUCUGCUCGUAGAUCUCAAAAAGUUAUUUUCGAAAUAUAACUACAUGUCGAAAAUGGACACCUGUGUUAAAAGUUACCAUUUUAAAGAAUUUUUCCAGCUAUAUAUUUGUAAAAUUUGCCGAAUUCAAUGAGACUUUUGGCCCAACUUGGUUAGGCCAAACUUCUCAUGAAUUGUAACGUAAAAUUGGCCACAUCAGUAGUUAGCACAAACUUCUCAAUUUUGAAGUUUUAGAACAAAUAUAAACAAAAGAACAUGACUUUAGUUAAAAGAUAAAUUGGAGUCCAUUCUUUUUUAGUACUAUUUUUAGCUAUAUUCCAUUUUAGCGAGACAUUUAACAAAAAUAAAAUGCUUGUUUUCAAGAUAGUGGAAUGUUUAGUUACAAAUAUUUAUUUAUUACAAACUACUUAUGGCUUAGGCGGUAGUUGUAGAUCACUGAUGUCACCUUCCAACAUAUUUACCACCCUACUCAUUGAAGGACGAUCAUCAGGCAUUGUUUGAAUACACCAUAAUGCAACUAGAAUCAUCUUUCUAACUAUCUCUAUAGCCUCGCCAUUGUCACCACAAGCUUCUACACAGUACUGAUUAAUAUUUUUAUAAAGGUAGUGAGGAAAAUAAGUUUCGCUGCUACUUGUUGUGGUAACAUCAAGAUUUUUUCUUCCUCCAACCAUUUCAAGUACCAUCAUACCAUAGCUAUAAACAUCAGAUUUACUUGAGACAACUCCAAAGUUCCUAGAAAAGACUUCUGGUGCGAUAUACCCAAUUGUCCCUCUUGCACCUAUCAGCGAGAUAAUGCUCUCUUUUGAAGUGCAUAAUUUUGCUAAUCCAAAAUCAGAAAUCUUAGGACAAAAAUCUUGAUCCAAUAAAAUAUUAUGAGGCUUGAUAUCAAAAUGCACUAUACGGGUGUUGCAUCCACGAUGCAAAUACUCUAGUCCUCGAGCAACGCCAACGACAAUCUCAAAUAACUUAUUCCAGCCAAGUGUAGAUUCUAUUUGAGACCUGUCGGUAAAAUUAAAUCUCUCUAGUGAUCCAUUAGGCAUAAAGUCAUAAAUAAGAGCUCGCUUUGAUCCGUCUAAACAAAACCCUAAUAGUCUAACAAUGUUGACAUGGGAUGUUCUACUAAUACUGGCAACUUCAUUGAUAAAUUCUUCCCCAUUUCCUUUGGAUUCUGUUAGCAUCUUCACAGCUACUGGAUGGCCAUUAGGAAGACUUCCUUUAUAAACAGUCCCGUAACCACCCUUUCCUAACUUGUCAGUGAAGGAUUUGGUCAUUCUCUUUACUUCUGAAUAUUUAUACCAUUUCGUGUUUAAGGAUCCAUAUUUCUGUAUGAAUGAUUCAACACAUAAUGAAGUCUUUGAUUUCUUCUUCCAACAGAAUAGAAUGUCACGAGACUUCUUGCACUUUAGGACAAAAACAAUAAGGCAAAGGCAUACGAAUAGACCACUUCCGAUUCCAAUGAAUACUUCUGCAUAGAUAAUAGAGGAACAUUCAUUAAAAGAAUUGAUUACAUCAAUAAUUAUAACUUUUUUUUGUUUAAGAGUAUGAACUAAAAGAUGAUAUAAUUGGAACUAGAAUGUAACAAUAAUAAAUAAUUGUAUAAUAUAGAUAUUAUAGUACUUGUAUUUCAUCUUAAAGAUUCUAUUUUUCUCAAACUAUUUAUCAAAAAGUAUGGAAUAUAAUUUAAAUUAAUAUUAAAAACCUCCAUAUUAGGUUUUGAGAUGUCAUAAUCAACAAAUUCCUUUCAUAAGUUACAUCCCUAUAUAUAAAUUUAGUCACAUAUAUGUUUAAAUUUGUAAAUGAUAUAACAGAUUAAAGAGUCCUACAUAGGAAAUUUACAUAUGACAAUUUAUAGGUGAUUUAAUUAUUGUCAUGCAACAAUAAUUUAAAAUGAUUAUUUUUAAGUUAUAAUAAGUUUAUAAUACAUAGAAAAAUUAAUAAUGGGUCACUUAUCUUAGAUUUUUCCUCUUUAAUUAGGUUAGCUUUAUAUUGGCUAAAUUGUAUUCCCAGCUGAAUUGUAAGAUGAGUGAUUCUUUAGUCCUCAAAUUUUAAUUAUUUUGAUUUCCAACUCAAAAUUUUUAAACUACUAAUUAACUUCUAUCAACAGCUAUAUUUGUAAAAUGUUGAUGUGAACCUAACAUUCUAUAAUUAAUAGCCAUUGCCAUGUUACUAGGCACCACUAUAAUAUUGAUAUAGCAAUUAUAUGGCAUCUUAGCCAACAGACAUUAUUGCUUAUACCAAUUGCAUUGAAUCACUAAUAGAUCAUAACAAAAAUUUUAUUAAGGGGCUCUUCAACUAUAGUUUGAUUUGUUAGAUUUUCAUAACAUAAAAAAUUUCCAUGUAUAAAAAUCAUAAAUUUUGUAGACAUUUCUCAUGCAUCAAACAACAAACCUUUGCACAUUGUUAAUUAUAGGAUUGUUUAAUGCCUUAACAUGUUGAGUUUCGAAAAUUUAAAGUGGCCAUUUUGAUGUUUGUAAAUUAAAUCAAACAAAAGAGAUUUCAAUUUGGAAACUUUACUUAUGUGAUACUAUUAAAUUAGAUGCUCUCAUCUUGUACAAGCGUACAAGAAGAAAACAUUUUCUUUUGGUAUAGAGGCCAUUUUCUCACUAUUUGCAAACAAAUAUAAUAGUGCAAUUGAAACUCUCUUUCCUAGGGUUUUAUGGGAAAUACUAUUUGUACAUCCAAAAGAAGCUAUAAAUCUUACACCCUUCGUCGUAGGGUUUCGAAACUCUUUGAAUUUUCAAUAUUAAAAAAAAAAAAAAGCAGGAUAAAGACCAAGUAUGGAACCUCGGAUAAGGAGGUGUAAGAUUUUUUUUUUUUUGGUUUUUAAUGAGACCUCUCGACCUUUUGGGAUUUUAAAUUUAAAAUGAUAAAUAAACAAAUAGAUUUUAGCAAGAAGUUGUGGAGAUUGAAUCUAAUGGUUUCAAUUAUUUCUUGGCAAAUAAAACCAAAUCAAUUAAUUGUUAAACUAAUAGAAUUAUUAAAUUUGUCAAACAUUUUACCUAAAUAAGUAUAAAAAUCAAAUAGAAAGCAUAAUUUAUUUAAUUAACAAAAAAAGAUUAGCGAUCAAAUUGAAAAAUCGGAAAAAGGUUGAGGACCAAUUGUGUUAUUAACUCAAAAAUUAGACCAACUUAGCAUUAUGUAAAUGCCAAGUCAGCGCCCAUGUGUCACUUCUGCAAGUUAUAAUCGAAGUAUUGAUUGUUUGGACCCAAUUAAAAAAAAGGAAAAACUUUAAAAACCCCCUGUGGUUUCGUACUUUCUCACUUUAGUAUUCUAUGGUUUAAAGUGUAUCAAUUUGCCUCCCUGUGGUUUCAUUUUUAUCUUUUCGAUAACUUUUUCGUUAAUAUUUCGUUAAAUUAUAUACAAAAAACUUCAAAUACCCAUUUAGAUUUAUCGAAUAUUCACUUUAGUACUCUUUAAUUUUAACUUUGUCACUAAUUUUAAGAAAAAAAUAAUGGAAUUGAUAAUAAAAAGAGAAAAACGAAACCACAGGGGGCAAAUUGAUACAUUUUAAACCACAUGAUACUAAAGUAAGAAAGUGCGAAACUGCAGGGGGCGUUUUUGAAGUUUUACCUAAAAAAAUUUCUGAAGGUCGGUGACUUAAUUGACAAAAAGAAAGGAAGGCCUUUAAAAUAGGGGCAAUUGCUUAUAUAUCUCUGAAAAGUUCUCGACUUUUCGAUUUACCUCUUUUAGAAGGCUAAUAUUGAAAAUACCCUUUCUACCUUCCAAACUAUUUCUAAUAUACCCCUAGAGUUAAAAUCUGUUAAUUAAUUCUGUUAUCUUUUUAAAAUUACUAUUUUGCCCUUUCAAAUAUACCUUUCCACCAUCACUGUCCUUUCUUAAUUGCCCUUAAAGUUAGGGGCACAAAAAGUAUUUUAACUUUUGGUCUUUUCCAAUAUACCUUUCUACCGUCACCAACAUUUCUUAUUUGCUCUUAAGUUAAAGGUAAAAUUAGUAUUUUAAUUUUUUUUUUAACUAUGAUAAAUUAACUUAACAGGAGAUAACUACAGGGGUAUUUUGCAAUAACGGUGGAACAUAUGAGGGGUAUUUUUUUUAAAAAAAGAAGUAAUGAUAAAUCAGAUAUUUUCAAACGUAUGAGGGUACAUAGGCAAUUAUCC